CUGAAAUUGCAUUUUGUCCACCCAAGUUUCAUAAUUGCACUGUGAUACAAAAAGAGGCAUCUGUGUGCUUUUGGACCAUGCGGACGCCUCAGAGCGGUCAGGUAGGCUGUUUGGUGUAAUGAGCUGGCUGGAUUUAGGAACACACAUACACCUGCACAGAGCGUACAAGUUGUAAAAGCAACUUGUUUUCACCAGUUGGUGUACCAUUAGAUCUAGCCAAAAGUUGGCUAACAUUAGUGAGCUUUAGCCAUUAGUUUUGCCUCAAUCACACUAGAUCUGAAUCAAAGAAUGAAAUUGAAGACUGAUAUUCUGAUGUUUUUAUUAGUCAGUAUAGCAAUAUAAAGUUAUUGCGCUUUCAGUUUCACUAGCUAAUUCCCUACUUUUCACACUGACAAGGUAUAAACAGCUCUACAGGCUUCACUGCCAUGGUGCACAGUCAGUACACAACACUAUGCUCAUCAUGUCUUCGCAGGAUCCGAUUGUGACCAGUGUCCCAGCAGGGUCAGACAGCCAGGGAAGACCAGUCUACGGAGCUCAGGAUCAGAUGGUAGCAGGCAUCUCAGCAGGGUCAGGCAACCAGGGAAGACCAGUCUGUUAUGGCACUACGGUGAACAUUUGCAGAUGCAACACUAUUAUUUAUGUGUGGCAAACACUGGACAAGCCAGAAGCGUCCAAGAUUGAAACUACUGUACUUUAUUAAGGCAGUCUGAUAAACCUCAAGUUGAUUUCCAAACUGUAUCCAGGGUUGAUGGAGGCUUUUCCUGAUGACACAAAUGACACAAAACAUGUAAAACAACAACGUGACCUGGGAGACUUGAUGAUGAUGAAUGGAUACAGAUAUAUUAGAAUGCCCAGUCACGUUCAUAUCAUCUCAGACAUAAAUUACUGCAGUUUAAGACCAUCCAUAGAACGUGCUAUAUGCCAGUCAAACUGAAUAUCAGGCACUCAGAAAUGUUAUUCCUCUGCUGGAGGUGUAAAACACAAAAGGGGACAUAUUUUUAUUUGUUAUGGUCUUGUAAAGGCUGGAUGGAUUCUGGCAAAGAGUAUGCUAUUUUAUAUCAGCAUAUCUACAGAUUCUCCCUUCUCCCUGUUUUUCUUUGCUUGGAAAUGUUGAUACUGGAGACUUAUCAGAAAAAACUGUGUAACCUAGCAUUUAUAGCAGCUAAGAAAUGCAUUGCCAUUAAUUGGAGGGUUGGUUAUCCUCCCAUGUCAAAAUUGAUGUCAGAAAUGUCAAGUUAUGUAUCACAAAAUUGUAUUUAUUACAAGAUUAAAAGUGUACUGUGCAACUUUCA
ensembl:lncRNA